UAAUACGUAGGAUCCGAGCGUUGUCCGGAUUUACUGGGUGUAAAGGGUGCGCAGGCGGACUUAUAAGUCAGGGGUGAAAUCUCACAGCUUAACUGUGAAACUGCCUUUGAUACUGUAAGUCUUGGAUCCGGGAGAGAGUUGUGGAAUUCCGAGUGUAGCAGUGAAAUGUGUAGAUAUUCGGAAGAACACCAGUGGCGAAGGCAGCAACUUGGCCCGGUAUCGACGCUCAGGCACGAAAGCAUGGGGAUCAAACAGGAUUAGAUACCCUGGUAGUCCAUGCCCUAAACGAUGAUCACUUGAUGUCAGCCCUCAGGGUUGGUGUCGAAGCUAACGCGAUAAGUGAUCCACCUGGGGAGUACGCUCGCAAGGGUG
rnacentral:rRNA from 1 species